ensembl:antisense 2010106C02Rik RIKEN cDNA 2010106C02 gene
AUGGGAAAGGGUGUGCUGGCCCCAUGCAACAUGGGUGGACCCCUCUGGGAGGGAGGCAGAGUCAGGGUGACCAGGACUCCUGGCUGGAUUCAUUGAUCAGGAAGCAGAGAUGGAGUUCAGAUGGUUCCAGAAGCCAAGGCCUGACUGUCUCCCUGGGCCUGUGACUCGAAAACAGCCCUGGCUGGCUGCCACCUUUCGUACUGCCUGUUCUGUAAGGUCACACACAGGGUCAUGCCUGCCUUCUGACAUUCUGCUCACCCCAGAUCAGAGACAGUCAGCAUCACCGUGCCCAAGGCCAAAGCCCUCUUCUCCAGGAUGACUGUAUCAAGAAGACCCAAGCAGUCGAUUCAUCUUCUAAGUGAUCCAAUCUCACAGACUGCUGCCCCCGCAGACCCACGAUGGCCUCCUCUACACAAAGCCUGUUCUUCAGAGGCCACAGAUUGGCCCUGUGUGAUGUGAGCACACGGCAAAUACUCAACUCACCCACCAAUAAGCUGUCUGCUGCCACUUAACUGUUCCAAGCACAGUCAUCAGGUAGUGGCUGCAAACUUGCUGGGGAAGAGCCAGGAUCAAGGACAAAGCUAAGAAUAAGGUCAACCUACUAGGAAGGCAAUUGAGAGAGAUAAGGAUGGGGUAAUAAAAUCUGCAAUUGCUAGGAAA